GUUCAAGAAGGUUUGGUUUAUGCGGCCAACGCAACGACAAACCCAAACCCUAGCCCUUCUUCUUCUUCUUAAUCCCUAAUAUCUUCUUUUUUCUUAUCUUCAUCUUCUUCUUCUACGCCUCUGUCUCUCUCUCCCAACAAACAUGUCUCACUUCGGACGCUCGGGUCCUCCUGACAUUUCCGACACUUACUCUCUUCUCGUUCUCAACAUCACCUUCCGCACCACAGCCGAUGACCUAUUUCCUCUAUUCGACAAGUAUGGGAAGGUCGUUGACAUCUUCAUCCCCAAGGAUCGAAGGACUGGUGAGUCCAGGGGUUUUGCCUUUGUGCGUUACAAGUAUGCUGAUGAGGCUCAAAAGGCCGUUGAUAGGCUAGACGGAAGAAUGGUUGAUGGUCGUGAAAUAACUGUCCAGUUUGCGAAAUAUGGGCCUAAUGCUGAGAGGAUUCACAAAGGAAGGAUUAUUGAAACGGCCCAGAGAUCAAGGCACCGGUCAAGAAGCCGUAGUCCCAGGAAAAGGUAUCGUGAUGACAGAGACAGGGACUAUAGAAAGAGAAGUCGCAGUAGAAGCUAUGAUAGGUAUGAACGUGACAAGCACCGUGGGAGAGACAAAGAUUAUCGUCACAGAAGCAGGAGCCGUAGUACCAGUCUUGAUUACAAGGGUCGUGGUAGGGCACGCUAUGAUGAUGAGCAUCAUAGUAGAAGCCGGAGUAGAUCAGUUGACAGUCGCUCCCCUGCACGACGCAGUCCUAGUCCUCGAAAGAGUCCUUCCUUACAGCGGAGCACUUCUCCCCAAAGGAGUACUUCCCCUAGGAAAAGCCCAAGGGGUGAAAGUCCAGCAAAUCGUAGCCGUGAUGGACGUUCUCCACGUUCUCCUUCCCCGCGCAGUGUAUCACCACGUGGUCGCCCUGAAGCUUCACGAAGCCCUUCCCCUCGAAAUUCGAAUGGUGAUGAAUAAGAUAUGCUUCGCAUGAAAAAUUCUAGAGUGCCGGACUAUUGCACCUGUAGCUGUUUUGCUAUUGUUGGAACUUUUAGUCUGUGUGAAUGGUCUUAUCAGAGUCAUUGAAGGAUUUUAUGAUCUAAGUGCUGUUUGACAAUUAGUUGACUUGGUUUUUUCCUGAAUGAUCUGAUCAUUGUGUCCUAAAAGGGAUUCUUGAUGCUGUGACGAACAAGUUGAGCAUAUUUUGACAUGUAGCCGAUGCCUCAUAGGAGUUGGACCUGUCAUUUGUUGAUUCAGAUGCGGAUACUAAACAUUAAACUGUGGGUCGUAAAUAUGAACUUUAAUGUGCUGGUGUAUAUUUGGAAGUGGACAAUGUGAGAUACGUUUGUUGUAGAACACUGCUCCAUGACACUGUAGCUGUGAGGUGGUAGCUGAUGCAUCUUUAGUAGUAAGAUAUGCAUGUGUUCGUGAAUAGUUUGAAGCACUAACCAGUUACUGUAGCUGACUGUUGCUGCCCUCUUUGCUGAGAUCGGGUUGGCAAUGGUAUUAGCAGUUGGUACACUGAUGAUGGCUGUCUAGCUGUGCUGCUGGUUUCUGUUGAUUCCAAAGCCGCAAGACAGAAUUGUUUUUCACUAUUGAACUGGUGAUUUGUUUUCGUAGCCUCAGUUAAGUUAUUCAUUCGUUCUUAUGGCAUUAAAAGAUUUGUUACUUAUUCAAUUGUGAUCGUGGUUAACAUUGUGUCUGGUUGUUAUUGUUUUACAACUGAAGCGACCAAUGUGUUUGCAACAAGUUUCUCUUCAACGAAUGAAUUUCUCUAGGUUGUA